rnacentral:tRNA from 1 species
UGGGGUUGUGGUUUAGUGGUAGGGCACAUGCCUAGCGUGUGUGACACUGGGUUCAAUCCUCAGCACCACAA